UACGUAGGCAGCGAGCGUUGUUCGGAGUUACUGGGCGUAAAGGGUGUGUAGGCGGUUCUCUAAGUUUGGUGUGAAAUCUCCCGGCUCAACCGGGAGGGUGCGCCGAAAACUGGAGGGCUAGAGUGCGGGAGAGGGAUGCAGAAUUCCAGGUGUAGCGGUGAAAUGCGUAGAUAUCUGGAGGAAUACCGGUGGCGAAGGCGGCAUCCUGGACCGGCAUUGACGCUGAGGAGCGAAAGCCAGGGGAGCAAACGGG
rnacentral:rRNA from 1 species